rnacentral:rRNA from 1 species
UACGGAGGAUGCAAGCGUUAUCCGGAAUUAUUGGGCGUAAAGCGUCCGUAGGCGGCCUUUCAAGUCUGCUGUUAAAGCGUGCAGCUUAACUGCAUAAGGGCAGUGGAAACUGAGAGGCUAGAGUGUAGUAGGGGUAGAGGGAAUUCCCAGUGUAGCGGUGAAAUGCGUAGAUAUUGGGAAGAACACCGGUGGCGAAAGCGAUCUACUGGGCUACAACUGACGCUGAUGGACGAAAGCUAGGGGAGCGAAAGGG